UACGUAGGGGGCUAGCGUUGUCCGGAAUCAUUGGGCGUAAAGAGCGUGUAGGCGGCCCGGUAAGUCCGCUGUGAAAGUCGGGGGCUCAACCCUCGAAUGCCGGUGGAUACUGUCGGGCUAGAGUGCGGAAGAGGCGAGUGGAAUUCCUGGUGUAGCGGUGAAAUGCGCAGAUAUCUGGAGGAACACCGGUGGCGAAGGCGGCAUCCUGGACCAAUACUGACGCUGAGGAGCGAAAGCCAGGGGAGCAAACGGG
rnacentral:rRNA from 1 species